AUGUCGAAGGGGGCGUUCCAUAACCGCGGGAAAUCCGAAUCCCUUCGUGUUGCGUUCUUAGACAAAAACAAAACACCGAACUUUAAACAACAAAUACGACUGGUAUUCACUAUGGAAAUCAGCAAAACAGAUACAAUAAUCGGAUUUUUAUGUCGGCUUCUAAGAACAGCCUGGAGAUUCAUGUGCUGCUGUGGACAUGAUAACUCUGACGUUCAGUUCUCAGUUGAGGAGACGGAGCCACCUCUUGGCGUCAGCACUGUGAGACCAUGGAAUUAUGCUGAAGGUGGAGGCAUUAUCAGGACAGUUUAGAACACUUGAAUCAAGAUUAAGAAACAAAUUUAAGUUUAGAACUUAUGAGAUGGAGGAUUGCCCCCCUUGAAAUCAUUGUCGCCCCAGCCACAUCUUUUGCAAAUUCCCGAGAGAAGCUGAUGUCGAGGUGGGGCAGAGUUACUGGCGCUCAUGCCCCAUGCAUGAAGAAGUGGUUCUGGACCUAUGCUGGGUUUGGUUUGGUCCAUUCAGAGCAGCAUUAGAGCACAAUCUUGAUGGUAAAAGAGAGCCAUGCCACGUGUUUUCACUAAGAUUUAAUUUGACCAACAGUGAUGAGAUUUCUGAUGUCAAAUGAAUUCAAUCCCUCAUUCAUUCCUGCUUCAUCUUAAGCAAGAAUAUCAGAGCUGGUAUACAGCACACAAGUUUAUACCAAAGUUCAACGAGAAUAUUUAAAGCCAGUUAGUAAGUAUAUUUCAUCUCUUUCAAAGAAAAUGGUCCCAAAAAAAGUGAAAGCAUCAAGCUAUCAAAUUAUGCACAGACUGAAUGUAAAUAAAUACAUUAUUGGAGUAUCAGCGUACUUGAAAGCAUAAUAGCUAACAUUUUGUGCCUCCGCAUUUCAUAAAUAUUGUUCCUCACUCAUCAUUUGAAAACAUGACAGUGGUGUCUGAUAGAAUCAUUCUUUACCAUACGGUGGGAAUAGAAUCAGCCCUCUUUAAAAUAAUCACAUUUUGUUGCCUUGCAACCUGAAAUGAAGAUGGACACAAUUUUUGUUUUAUCCAGCUGUAUCUACAUCCAAGUGAAAGAUAAAACACCAACAUGUCAGAAAAAAAUAAAAUAAAAAACAGUUGCCCUUGAGUCAGUAUUUUGUUGAACCUCCUUCUGCUUUAAUUACAGCCUUUAGUCUGUUGGGAAAUGUCUCUGUCUCUACUAACUUAGUUCAUCAAGACUUUGCAGAACUGCUGAAAUUCAGUUAAAUUUGUUGAUCGUUUGUGGACUGCAGUCCUCAAGUCAUUCCACAGAUUUUCAGUGUGGUUUAAGCCUGGGCUCUGACAAAUAAUAUUGCAACUGAAAUAAAUAGCAGACAUGGCUACCGGUCACCGGUAGUAAUGUUGGCCAUCUGGAACACCGGGACAUUUUUUUUAAUUACAGCGCAUGCGAAACCGCAAAAAGCCUACUCCAAAAAGUGUGAGCGUGUGUCCGCCAGCGAACGUGCGCUGCGCUUCCGGCACGGUAAAAAGAUCAAUGCUUGAUCUAUUCAGAUGUGACACAGAAUUGUUUUACAUUCGUGUGAUAUGAGAAAUUUAAAGGUGCAGUGAGGCUGGCUGAAAACAGCCACGACAAACUGCAUGACGAGGUAAACUGGAAAACGCCAAUACAUAAUUGCAAAUCAAUUCAGUACCAUAGUAAUUUAACUUGCAGCUCCACCGAACAGGAGCUCGUUCCCUCAUCUCAGGGAACCGAGGCUGCGUUAGUAACCGGAGAGUUAUUAACACUGUACAAAUAUAUGGUGUUUUGGCAGAAAUGUUUUUAUUUUAUUUUAUUUUUUUAUUAUUAUUAUUAGCUAGGCUAUAGGUGUUAUACGGUAAUUACUUAGGCUAUGUUAAAUAUUGGGGAAUAUUUUACUUUUACAUGAGUCGUUUUGUAGUUUCUACAUAAGUUUUUUUGUUAUUACAAAUUCCAUAAUUUAUUAUAACUCAUUAUUUAUUUUUAAAACUAUGAGGACUAUGGUUUUACUUGUGACCACCAUCUUACUAGUUAAACUCUGGAUAAGAACUAUAGCCUAGUACUUAACUUUAUUACUAACUUUAAGAUAGUUUUGACACACUGUAAAAAAUUAUUAUGAUUUUAACAGUAAAAGACUGUAAAAAUGCUACAGUAAAAACCUGUUAAUUGGUUAUCAGUAAGUUUCCCUACGGGAAUAACUGUAAUUACAUUUAUUGUAAUUUUACAGUCAAAUUAAAAUCACGGUUUUUGGAAGUGAAAAAGAAAAAGUCAUUGUACAAUUUACAGUGAAAAACUGUAAAUUGACACUCCCAGAAUUCCCUGCAUGACACUUCAUAUUUUAUGUUUUUUUUUUUUCGUUGAAAUAACUGUUUCUUCUUAGUUUUUUCUUAUCAGUUGUGUACAUUGGGGUUUUAUAUUACAUCUAAUGUUGUUAAAUUAAUGUUUAUUGCAUUAUUUCAGUAUCACGUGUGUUACCAUGAUGGUGUUUAGUGUUUGUGUGAAUGACACUGUGCUCCUUCUAUUACUAUAUCCCUUCUCAGCUUGUGGAAGAGCUGUUUGUGAUGUGCUUUGAUUCAUCAUGUGACUUUCUCAUCACCACCAGUUUUUGGUGGUUAUCAGUGCAUUACAAUGGUUCAAAACAGAUAUUAGUACUUCAGUAUGCUGGUUUAUUAACAUUACAUCAGUUAAUGAAAUACGGUAUUUUAUUGUGAAUUUAAGUUAAGUCUGUAAAGCCUAAAAUGUUGCUACCAUAUUUUUAACGAAUUUUCAACCACAUGCAGCUGCCGGUAUUUUACCGUAAAUGUCACAGAUUUUUUUUUACAGUGCAUGCAGGCCUAUGUAGGCCUACUUUAACCGAGUGUUUUCUUAUUCAUCAUCAUAACGAUGUCAUAACAGCACACCAGAUGAGUCAUAAUGAGUCAAAAUGUGCUUAAGCUUGCAGUGUGAAAAGUUACUCAUUGUUUUUGCAAACAAGUUCCCUAAAACAGCCUCUCAACUUUCAUUGGUUGAUACUGCUGGCAAGAUGUUGGACAGCCUUUAACACACGUUUCUUAAACGCUGUAUAUUUCUCAGUGACCCAUUCAGUGCAAGUCUCUAAAGUCGGGCAUUUGAAACUACAGCUGGAAAUUCGCAGCAGCUUGUCUCUUAUUUAAAGUAGCCUACAUAAGGAAUUACUUCGAAGACCACUGUCAAGGAAAUCCACAACGGAG
ensembl:lncRNA